rnacentral:rRNA from 1 species
CCUGCUAUCAAAACAUAGGAGGUCCCGCCUGCCCUGUGACUUUAAGUUUAACGGCCGCGGUAUUUUAACCGUGCAAAGGUAGCGCAAUCACUUGUCUUUUAAAUGAGGACCUGUAUGAAUGGCAUCACGAGGGCUUAACUGUCUCCUCUUCCAAGUCAAUGAAAUUGAUCUACCCGUGCAGAAGCGGGUAUGCCCCUACAAGACGAGAAGACCCUGUGGAGCUUAAGACACAAGGCCAACCACGUCAAACAACCGCUUUAAAGGUAUAAACAAAGUGUAAGCCUGGCCAACAUGUCUUCGGUUGGGGCGACCACGGGGGAAAACCAAGCCCCCCUGUGGACCGGGACACCCCUAAAGCCAAGAGGCACACCUCCAAGCCUCAGAACAUCUGACCAUAAAUGAUCCGGCCAAGCCGAUCAACGAACCAAGUUACCCCAGGGAUAACAGCGCAAUCCUCUCCCAGAGUCCUUAUCGACGAGGGGGUUUACGACCUCGAUGUUGGAUCAGGACAUCCUAAUGGUGCAGCCGCUAUUAAGGGUUCGUUUGUUCAACGAUUAAAGUCCU